rnacentral:rRNA from 1 species
AUUGAACGCUGGCGGCAGGCCUAACACAUGCAAGUCGAGCGGAUGAAGGGAGCUUGCUCCUGGAUUCAGCGGCGGACGGGUGAGUAAUGCCUAGGAAUCUGCCUGGUAGUGGGGGAUAACGUCCGGAAACGGGCGCUAAUACCGCAUACGUCCUGAGGGAGAAAGUGGGGGAUCUUCGGACCUCACGCUAUCAGAUGAGCCUAGGUCGGACUAGCUAGUUGGUGGGGUAAAGGCCUACCAAGGCGACGAUCCGUAACUGGUCUGAGAGGAUGAUCAGUCACACUGGAACUGAGACACGGUCCAGACUCCUACGGGAGGCAGCAGUGGGGAAUAUUGGACAAUGGGCGAAAGCCUGAUCCAGCCAUGCCGCGUGUGUGAAGAAGGUCUUCGGAUUGUAAAGCACUUUAAGUUGGGAGGAAGGGCAGUAAGUUAAUACCUUGCUGUUUUGACGUUACCAGCAGAAUAAGCACCGGCUAACUUCGUG